UACGUAGGGUGCGAGCGUUAAUCGGAAUUACUGGGCGUAAAGCGUGCGCAGGCGGUCUGUUAAGACCGAUGUGAAAUCCCCGGGCUUAACCUGGGAACUGCAUUGGUGACUGGCAGGCUUUGAGUGUGGCAGAGGGAGGUAGAAUUCCACGUGUAGCAGUGAAAUGCGUAGAGAUGUGGAGGAGUACCGAUGGCGAAGGCAGCCUCCUGGGCCAACACUGACGCUCAUGCACGAAAGCGUGGGGAUCAAACAGG
rnacentral:rRNA from 1 species